rnacentral:rRNA from 1 species
UACGGGGGGAGCAAGCGUUGUUCGGAUUUACUGGGCGUAAAGGGCGCGUAGGCGGCCUCUGCAAGUCGACUGUGAAAUCUCCGGGCUUAACCCGGAACGGUCAGCCGAUACUGCAGGGCUAGAGUGCAGAAGGGGCAACUGGAAUUCUCGGUGUAGCGGUGAAAUGCGUAGAUAUCGAGAGGAACACCAGUGGCGAAGGCGACUUUCUGGCCUAUAACUGACGCUGAGGCGCGAAAGCGUGGGGAGCAAACAGG